rnacentral:rRNA from 1 species
GAUGAACGCUGGCGGCGUGCCUAAUACAUGCAAGUCGAGCGAACGGACGAGAAGCUUGCUUCUCUGAUGUUAGCGGCGGACGGGUGAGUAACACGUGGAUAACCUACCUAUAAGACUGGGAUAACUUCGGGAAACCGGAGCUAAUACCGGAUAAUAUUUUGAACCGCAUGGUUCAAAAGUGAAAGACGGUCUUGCUGUCACUUAUAGAUGGAUCCGCGCUGCAUUAGCUAGUUGGUAAGGUAACGGCUUACCAAGGCAACGAUGCAUAGCCGACCUGAGAGGGGGGACGGCCACCCUGGAACUGAGAACCGGGCCAGACUCCCACGGGAGGCAACAGGUGGGAAACUUUCCGAAAGGGGGAAAGCCUGACGGGGCAAACCCCCGGGGGGUAUGAAGGGUUUCGGAUCCGAAAAAUCUUUUUUUUGGGAAAAAAAUAUGGGUAAGUAACCGGGCACAUCUUGGCGGUACCUAAUCAGAAAGCCCCGGCUAACUUCGUG